CAGACUGUGAAGUCCGACCGAGGUUCUCCCUGAAACAAAGCGACGGGUGAAGCAACAGAUGCUCGCAUCUGAGAAGAACACCUAAAAUCGAGUUGAUUGAAGGUUGUAAACUUCAUAUCUAGGGUUUACCCUAUUUCCAAAUCAGACGAUCGACUCCAAGGUUUGAAGAACUAGAAUCGAAGCUUGAUUUAAGUUUUGAUGUGAUGGAACCAACAGGAGAUUCUAAUAGUAGGUCACGGGACAUUGCUUCAUGGCCUAGCGCCGUUUCUCAUUACAUGUUGGAGUGUGUAUUGAAGCAGUACAAGAGUGGUAAGGGUGGAGAUAAUG